rnacentral:rRNA from 1 species
AGUGAACGCUGGCGGCAUGCCUUACACAUGCAAGUCGAACGGUAACAGGUCUUCGGAUGGUGACGAGUGGCGAACGGGUGAGUAAUACAUCGGAACGUGCCCAGUCGUGGGGGAUAACGAAGCGAAAGCUUUGCUAAUACCGCAUACGAUCUACGGAUGAAAGCGGGGGAUCGCAAGACCUCGCGCGAUUGGAGCGGCCGAUGGCAGAUUAGGUAGUUGGUGGGGUAAAGGCUUACCAAGCCUACGAUCUGUAGCUGGUCUGAGAGGACGACCAGCCACAGUGGGACUGAGACACGGCCCAGACUCCUACGGGAGGCAGCAGUGGGGAAUUUUGGACAAUGGGCGCAAGCCUGAUCCAGCAAUGCCGCGUGCAGGAUGAAGGCCUUCGGGUUGUAAACUGCUUUUGUACGGAACGAAAAGCUCUGGGUUAAUACCCUGGGGUCAUGACGGUACCGUAAGAAUAAGCACCGGCUAACUACGUGCCAGCCGCCGCCGUAA